UACGGAGGGUGCAAGCGUUAUCCGGAUUCACUGGGUUUAAAGGGUGCGUAGGUGGGCAGGUAAGUCAGUGGUGAAAUCUCCGGGCUUAACCCGGAAACUGCCGUUGAUACUAUUUGUCUUGAAUAUUGUGGAGGUAAGCGGAAUAUGUCAUAUAGCGGUGAAAUGCUUAGAUAUGACAUAGAACACCAAUUGCGAAGGCAGCUUACUACACAAUGAUUGACACUGAGGCACGAAAGCGUGGGGAUCAAACAGG
rnacentral:rRNA from 1 species